ACUGUCUUGUCUAGUAUAGAUGAAUUUGACUUUUAUGUGAAAAGGCAUAGAUAGUCUGGAGGGACGAUAAGACCCUAUAAAACUUGAUAGUUUANCUGGAUUUUUGAAUUUANUAUGAUAAAUGUUUGGGUAAGUACUAUUCUGCUGGGGCGGCAGGGAUAAAAUUUAUUAACUGUUUUGUAAUUAAAAUAGAUAUAACUAGUUGGUGACCCCUAAUUUGGGUUUAAAAGUUAAAGUUACUUUAGGGAUAACAGCGUAAUUUCUCUUGAGAGUUCGUAUCGACAGAGGUAGUUGCGACCUCGAUGUUGAAUUAAAACUUCCUGCAGGAGUAGAGGUUUGUGGGGUAGGUCUGUUCGACCUUUAAAGUUUUACACGAUU
rnacentral:rRNA from 1 species